GACGAACGCUGGCGGCGUGCUUAACACAUGCAAGUCGAACGAAGUGGCGAACGGGUGAGUAACGUGUAAUCAACCUGCCCUUCUGGGGGGUACAACAGUCGGAAACGACUGCUAAUACCGUAUACUGAAGGAGGGGCUUGCGUCUGAUUAGCUAGUUGGAGGGGUAACGGCCAACCAAGUCGAUGGUCAGUAGCCGGUCUGAUAGGAUGAACGGCCACAGUGGGACUGAGACACGGCCCAGACGCCUACGGGAGGCAGCAGUGGGGAAUCUUCCGCAAUGGACGAAAGUCGGACAGAGCAACGCCGCGUGAGUGAUGACGGCCUUCGGGUUGUAAAGCUCUGUUAAUCGGGACGCGGUACCGGAAUAGAAAGCCACGGCUAACUACGUGCCAGCAGCCGCGUAAUUC
rnacentral:rRNA from 1 species